UUGGGGUUUAAAGGGUCCGCAGGCGGUUAAAUAAGUCAGAGGUGAAAGUCUAUAGCUCAACUAUAGAAUUGCCUUUGAUACUGUUUGACUAGAAUGUAGUUGAAGUAGGCGGAAUGUGUAGUGUAGCGGUGAAAUGCUUAGAUAUUACACAGAACACCAAUUGCGAAGGCAGCUUACUAAGCUACUAUUGACGCUCAUGGACGAAAGCGUGGGGAGCGAACAGGAUUAGAUACCCUGGUAG
rnacentral:rRNA from 1 species